rnacentral:rRNA from 1 species
GUGGGGAAUUUUGGACAAUGGGCGCAAGCCUGAUCCAGCCAUGCCGCGUGAGUGAAGAAGGCCUUCGGGUUGUAAAGCUCUUUCGGCCGGGAAGAAAUCGGCGACUCUAACAUAGUCGCUGGAUGACGGUACCGGACUAAGAAGCACCGGCUAACUACGUGCCAGCAGCCGCGGUAAUACGUAGGGUGCGAGCGUUAAUCGGAAUUACUGGGCGUAAAGCGUGCGCAGGCGGUUUUGUAAGACAGAUGUGAAAUCCCCGGGCUUAACCUGGGAACUGCGUUUGUGACUGCAAGGCUAGAGUACGGCAGAGGGGGGUGGAAUUCCUGGUGUAGCAGUGAAAUGCGUAGAUAUCAGGAGGAACACCGAUGGCGAAGGCAGGUGGCUGUACCUUAAUCGACGCUGAUGCACGAAAGCAUGGGGAGCAAACAGGAUUAGAUACCCGAGUAGUCC